UAAGAAAGAAAGAAGGAAAGUUGAACAAAGAGGGGGUGAAAAAAUAUUUUUUCUUCCUUCUUCUGUCUGUCUUUUUUUCUUCUAUGUGUAGUCUUCUUGUUUUGUGUCCUUCACAUUUGCUGUGGUUGAUCAGUGUGUGGAGACGGAUAUUUGUAGAAAGAGAGGGGAAAAGGAAUGGGAUUGGUGGAGUAGUAACUGUGAGUGGCGCUUGCAUUUACCCAAUUUAAUUAAAAAGAAAUUGAAUUAAAA
rnacentral:ribozyme from 13 species